GCCCGCCUAGCUCAAUCGGAUAGAGCGUCAGACUCUUAUGACCGAUAGGUUUAGUGGGAUUGAUCUGAAGGCUGCGAGUUCGACCCUCGCGGUGGGCU